rnacentral:lncRNA from 1 species
GUUCCAUUUUGCGUCACUUCUAAAUGUAACCCCUAGAUGCUUAUGAGAUCGCACAAUUGGUAUUUCUUUGUUGUUCAUAGUAAAAUUAAGGUUUUGUAUCUCAUUAUUUGAAAACAUCAUAAUUUCUGUUUUUUUCAGGAUUGAAAGACAUAAGCCACUUUCUUGACCAUUCAUCCAGCUGUCUCAGGUCACGACUAACAACUGACUGUAUAAGUUCCUCGUCAUGACCCGAGUAACUGAAUGAAGUGUCAUCUGCAAAUAGUCUGCAUAAAGAAGUUAACUGUUCAGCA